rnacentral:rRNA from 1 species
GACGAACGCUGGCGGCGUGCCUAAUACAUGCAAGUAGAACGCUGAAGGAGGAGCUUGCUUCUCCGGAUGAGUUGCGAACGGGUGAGUAACGCGUAGGUAACCUGCCUGGUAGCGGGGGAUAACUAUUGGAAACGAUAGCUAAUACCGCAUAACAGUAGAUAUUGCAUGAUAUCUGCUUGAAAGGUGCAAAUGCAUCACUACCAGAUGGACCUGCGUUGUAUUAGCUAGUUGGUGGGGUAACGGCUCACCAAGGCGACGAUACAUAGCCGACCUGAGGGGGUGAUCGGCCACACUGGGACUGAGACACGGCCCAGACUCCUACGGGAGGCAGCAGUAGGGAAUCUUCGGCAAUGGACGGAAGUCUGACCGAGCAACGCCGCGUGAGUGAAGAAGGUUUUCGGAUCGUAAAGCUCUGUUGUAAGAGAAGAACGAGUGUGAGAGUGGAAAGUUCACACUGUGACGGUAUCUUACCAGAAAGGGACGGCUAACUACGUGCCAGCAGCCGCGGUAAUACGUAGGUCCCGAGCGUUGUCCGGAUUUAUUGGGCGUAAAGCGAGCGCAGGCGGUUAGAUAAGUCUGAAGUUAAAGGCUGUGGCUUAACCAUAGUACGCUUUGGAAACUGUUUAACUUGAGUGCAAGAGGGGAGAGUGGAAUUCCAUGUGUAGCGGUGAAAUGCGUAGAUAUAUGGAGGAACACCGGUGGCGAAAGCGGCUCUCUGGCUUGUAACUGACGCUGAGGCUCGAAAGCGUGGGGAGCAAACAGG